rnacentral:pre_miRNA from 1 species
AGCCACUGACUAACGCACAUUGUGCUGUUGGCGACGCCACUGUGCGUGUGACAGCGGCUAA